rnacentral:rRNA from 1 species
UAGCUUGCUAGAUGAUGACGAGCGGCGGACGGGUGAGUAAUACUUGGGGAUCUGCCUGAUGGCGGGGGACAACCACUGGAAACGGUGGCUAAUACCGCAUAAUACCUACGGGUCAAAGUGUGGGACCUUCGGGCCACACGCCAUCAGAUGAACCCAAGCGAGAUUAGCUAGUUGGUGGGGUAAAGGCUCACCAAGGCGACGAUCUCUAGCUGUUCUGAGAGGAUGAUCAGCCACACUGGGACUGAGACACGGCCCAGACUCCUACGGGAGGCAGCAGUGGGGAAUAUUGGACAAUGGGCGCAAGCCUGAUCCAGCCAUGCCGCGUGUGUGAAGAAGGCCUUCGGGUUGUAAAGCACUUUCAGUGGUGAGGAAGGGGUGCUAGUUAAUAGCUAGCAUCAUUGACGUUAGCCACAGAAGAAGCACCGGCUAACUCCGUGCCAGCAGCCGCGGUAAUACGGAGGGUGCGAGCGUUAAUCGGAAUUACUGGGCGUAAAGCGCACGUAGGCGGUUUGUUAAGCAAGAUGUGAAAGCCCAGGGCUCAACCUUGGAAUUGCAUUUUGAACUGGCAAGCUAGAGUUUUGAAGAGGGUGGUAGAAUUUCCAGUGUAGCGGUGAAAUGCGUAGAUAUUGGAAGGAAUACCAGUGGCGAAGGCGGCCACCUGGUCAAAAACUGACGCUGAGGAGCGAAAGCGUGGGGAGCAAACAGGAUUAGAUACCCUGGUAGUCCACGCCGUAAACGAUGUCAACUAGUUGUUCGUG